CUUACAGGAAAUAAGAUUAUAGGUUACUCUACAGGGUUGGAGUCCUGAUCUUGCCUUCCCUCAUAUGUUUUCCACUUUUAUUGUGGAAUUGUACCCAACUCUGAUGCCAAUAGUCAACAUGAGGGUGAUGGAGCUGAAUGCAAUGACACCCCACACAAAUUUGUGUAUGUGGACGAGGCAGGAUUCAACCUGAACAAAUUUAGAUGACAGGAACAUCAUACCCUAGCCAAUGUGGAUGUGCCAGGCCAGUAUGGGGGUAACAUAACAACGUGUGCUACAAUCUCAGAGUAUUGCAUAAUUCAACAUGUUCAGACCAUUGGACCCUACAACACAACCCAUCUUGUUUAUUUCUUGGGGGGACUUUGCAAGCUGCUCAUCCCUGAGAAUGAGAGGGGAGUGGUGAGGCUCGACUUGCCAAAUUAUGUGGUAAUCUGGGUCAAUGUCAGUUUUCACUGUUCCAGACUUUUGCCCGGGAAUGGUUUGCUGUGUUCCUACCACCCUGUUCACCUUUCCUCAGUCCAACUGAGGAAUUCUUCUCAGCAUGCAGGUGGAAGGUGUAUGAUGGCCAGCUCCAUAACCAGUUGUCUUUACUCAAAGCAAUGGAUGCUGGUUGUGAGGACAUCACACCUGAGGAUUGCUGAGGGUGGCUGCGACAUACAAGGUUUUUCCCUCUGUGUCUUGAGAGGCAAGACAUCAGGUGUGAUGGCAACACUUUCUUUGAAUGGUCCUCUCUGAGAGUUAUAUAAAACCUCCAUAAGCACUACAUACCCACUUCUUAAGCACUAUAUAGACAGUCAUUGGUGCUUAUGUCAAUAACUGCUGAUAGUAUGCAACACUUAGUAUGCCAUGGUGGUGUCACUUUCUGCAUCAGUUGUGACAUACAGUAACACACCAUAAGCCUAUUUCCAGUUUUUUGACAUAAGGAUAUAGAAAUGUUUCGGUACCACUUAUGAAUGUGUUUGUACUGAUUAUGAAGGUGAGUACAUUGCUGCACAUAGUUGCAAUGUUUUUGGUGCAUACUACCAUAGAAAUGGACAAGAUGGCGAAACAUUUGCAAGAUGGCAAGAAAUAGUCCUUUUACAAACCUAAAAAAUUUCCAGAACAAGUUCUGACCCCUACCACCAGACAGAAAUAUCUUGAAAUUAGUCAAUUUUGUUUGAAAUCAUUUUUGUGUUUUUCUGGAGAGAGGGGAGGAAGGAGAUCUUUCAAAAUGACUGCCCUCAAUGGGAAAUUCCUCAAGUAAAUACCCAUUCUACCACAAAGCGUUCAUGUCAUAAAAAAAUACUCUGUAUGAUUCAAUAAUGGAAAAGAGCAAUAUCAGGUGAUAUCACAUGAUAAUCAUAAUGUCUAUCUAUGAAGUCACUGAACAAACAAAAACAGUCACUAUGCUGUAUGUUCAUGUAGCUGAAGGAAGUGAAACUUUUUUCCAACACAAAAAAUGCUUUCAGCAUAUUUAGUUUGAAUUCUCCUUUUUAGUGAACAAGAAUAUAUGUACUCAAAGAACAGCUGACGUCCAUCAGCUGAAGUCCAAUUUUCCAAUUAUUUUGUCUGAAUUUUUUACCAAAUUUUUAUAUGCGAUCAUCUGCCACCUACUGGCCAAAGAAUGGAAAGUAUCUUCCUCUUUCACACAGGCCUCGCUUCCAUGCAUCCUGCCUGAAGCAUGACUCCGUACCCUUGGCCCUGGAGAACUGCAGGGCCUGCGUUUUUUAUCUUCAUUUUGUUACUCAGCACUUAAUUUAUCCUUACAGCAGUUUAAUACAGCGCUAAAUCACAUCACUUGUUUACUGGGUCUGAAUCGGUUGCCGAUUCUCAGGUGAAAACAAAAACCAGCUGACCCUGCAGCUCCCCAUGUAUGCUAGUAUUCGUUACCGCUAAAUCUCAUGAACCAACAGUACAUUCCAGGAAGAGUAAAUGUCCCAUAUUCAUAUCAUAAUGGUUUCAUUUAAAAAAAAAAAAAAAAUACUAUACACAAAUGAUUCCUUUAGGAAGAGGUCACAUUUUUUCAAUAGUUUCACUUGUAGACAGACAGGUGAAAUCAUUAGGUCCUAACAGCUGAAAGCAUUGUUUUAUUUAUUUAUGUUGUGGAAUUCACUGUUCCAAAAUUAGUUUAAGGAAAAAUACAGAAGAAUGUCUCCAACAAUCUGGACUGAUUCAAGAACGCACACACAAGGGGUACCCAGCAGAGGUGGAAAAUCCAGGUUUGGAAAGUCCUUCCCAGUAUUUUGUUCCAAUCACCUGGAUUUGCUCAUUAGCACAAUUCUUCAACCAGGAGGUAGAACUAAUUGUUGAGAUCCGCUGGAGUUCAUGGGUGAAAAUACAUCGGAGGAUUUUUUGACUCCUGGACUUUCCACCUGUAGUACCCAGGACCGAGAUUGAGUUCCUUUGUUUUUUAAAAAAUUGAAUCUAGUCACUAUGUAUGUGCAUUAUUUAAUUGAAAACCAAUGCACAUUUGAUCAUCUAAAUUGUUGUUUUAACGCCAUGAGGGAUUAAAAAAUAUUUCUGAGUUACUCUAAUUCUCAGUGUCUCAGGUCUGGCCAAAAGUGCUCAGUGCAGUCAAACUACUCAGGUUUUGUUAAUGCUUGGAUUACACUUCAUUUGUUAUUCGUUUUCAUGAAUGUUUUUGUCUUUUAAAAAUAGGGCUGUAAUUCCUUCAUGGAUCACCUGAUAUGGAUGUAAGUAGCCUAAAAUUAAAGCCGACAGUCUACAAUUUAACUGCAUAUUCAUUGUUUUUCAAAUCCAUUGUGCUGGAGUACAGAGCCAAAACAAACAAAAAUGUGUCACUGUCCAAAUACUUUGAUUGCACUGAAUAUCAUUUUUACCACGUCGCUUAAUUGCUCUUUAUACUUAUGUAUUUUUGUUGUGAAGUGCUUUGAGCUUCAACUCAUUGUAUGAAAAAUGCACAGUACAAACACUAUUAACCAUAUGCAAAAAUUAACACUGAUAAUCCACUUGUGAAAUUUAGGUUUGACCCAAACCGACAAGAGGCCCUCCAGUGUGGAGUAUGACCUCAUUAUGUACGGCUAAGUCAAACGGCAUUUGCGGUAAAAAUGAGGAAGUGUCCAGAGCGGAUCUUUUUUUGACACGGUAUGUCUGUUUCCCUUGUCUGUCAUUUUAGCUUUGCCAGAAGUGGGCAAAAAUGGUGCCAUAAAUAAUGAGUAUAAGCAAAGACUGAGUAUGUUCGUUGAGUUUGUUUAUUCCCUAUGAAAUACCAUUCAGUUUACCAUGAAAUAAUUUGAUGCAAUGGUUUAUACACACAGGACUUCUAAAAUUCUAGAAAAAUCUACAACAAAAGACAUAUAUUCUAAAACAAAGGAAGAAAUGGGUAGAAAACAAGACCUAGACCUAGAUUUUUCCCUGGUAACAGUAUUAUGUUCUUGUACCUGAAAAACAAGUAUUAUCUACCAUCUAUUAGCAUCUUCAAUAUAUAUUCUCUAUUAUACAUAGUGUGUGUAUAUUUAUAUAUUAAUAUACAGUAAUCUCUACCACCUCCAACCCCCAUCAUUUAUUCAACUAAGUAAUAGUAGCACAAUAAAGGAUUAUUCAUUUACAGUGUACAUUCAUUCUUUUGUUACAAUAUAAAUGCACUUUUACAGCAGGGCAAACAAUACAAUUUAUUUAAACGGCUGAAAAAUAUUUACGUGGAAUCACAAAGUUAAUCAUUCCUGUUAGUACUUGUCAUUAUUGUCAAUAAAUCUAAG